GUGACGGUGGUCGGCGCCGCGAGCGACUCCGAGGCCUACAGCGCCUCGCUCUCGCUCUCGCAGCCGCUCUUCGACUGGGCCCGGUUCA
rnacentral:tRNA from 1 species